rnacentral:ncRNA from 1 species
CGUCUUCAGGGCGGGGUGGAAAUCCCCACCGGCGGUAGGUGCGGCAACGCACGAGCCCGCGAGCGCUUCCGUGUCGCAAGUCUCCCGCCGGGUGCCGCGCCUGCAUGCGCGGUCCGCGAGGCGGGUCCGGCAAGGGCCGCAGCCGCGGCCCUGCGAUGCGCAAGGUCAGCAGAUCCGGUCCGAUGCCGGAGCCGACGGUUACAGUCCGGAUGAAAGAAGACG